UACGUAGGCAGCGAGCGUUGUUCGGAGUUACUGGGCGUAAAGGGUGUGUAGGCGGUUCUCUAAGUUUGGUGUGAAAUCUCCCGGCUCAACCGGGAGGGUGCGCCGAAAACUGGGGGACUCGAGUGCGGGAUGGGAGAGUAGAAUUCCUGGUGUAGCGGUGAAAUGCGUAGAUAUCAGGAGGAAUACCGGUGGUGUAGACGGCUCUCUGGACCGCCACUGACGUUGAGACACGAAAGCGUGGGUAGCAAACAGG
rnacentral:rRNA from 1 species